rnacentral:rRNA from 1 species
AUUGAACGCUGGCGGAAUGCUUUACACAUGCAAGUCGAGCGGCAGCGCGGGGGCAACCCUGGCGGCGAGCGGCGAACGGGUGAGUAAGACAUCGGAACGUACCCAGAUGUGGGGGAUAGCUCGGCGAAAGCCGGAUUAAUACCGCAUACGACCUGAGGGUGAAAGUGGGGGACCGCAAGGCCUCACGCGUUUGGAGCGGCCGAUGGCGGAUUAGCUAGUUGGUGGGGUAAAGGCCUACCAAGGCGACGAUCCGUAGCUGGUCUGAGAGGACGACCAGCCACACUGGGACUGAGACACGGCCCAGACUCCUACGGGAGGCAGCAGUGGGGAAUUUUGGACAAUGGGGGCAACCCUGAUCCAGCCAUUCCGCGUGAGUGAAGAAGGCCUUCGGGUUGUAAAGCUCUUUCGGCAGGAACGAAACGGUGAGGGCUAAUACCUCUUAUCAAUGACGGUACCUGAAGAAGAAGCACCGGCUAACUACGUGCCAGCAGCCGCGGUAAUACGUAGGGUGCGAGCGUUAAUCGGAAUUACUGGGCGUAAAGCGUGCGCAGGCGGUUUUGUAAGACAGGUGUGAAAUCCCCGGGCUCAACCUGGGAAUGGCGCUUGUGACUGCAAGACUGGAGUACGGCAGAGGGGGGUGGAAUUCCACGUGUAGCAGUGAAAUGCGUAGAGAUGUGGAGGAACACCGAUGGCGAAAGGCAGCCCCCUGGGCCAGUACUGACGCUCAUGCACGAAAAGCGUGGGUAGCAAACAGGAUUAGAUACCCUGGUAGUCCACGCCCUAAACGAUGCCAAACUAGGUGUUGGAGAAGGAGACUUCUUUUAGUACCGUAGCUAACGCGUGAAGUUGGCCGCCUGGGGAGUACGGUCGCAAGAUUAAAACUCAAAGGAAUUGACGGGGACCCGCACAAGCGGUGGAUGAUGUGGAUUAAUUCGAUGCAACGCGAAAAACCUUACCUACCCUUGACAUGCCAGGAAUCCUGCUGAGAGGUGGGAGUGCCCGAAAGGGAGCCGGGACACAGGUGCUGCAUGGCUGUCGUCAGCUCGUGUCGUGAGAUGUUGGGUUAAGUCCCGCAACGAGCGCAACCCUUGUCAUUAGUUGCCAUCAUUUAGUUGGGCACUCUAAUGAGACUGCCGGUGACAAACCGGAGGAAGGUGGGGAUGACGUCAAGUCCUCAUGGCCCUUAUGGGUAGGGCUUCACACGUCAUACAAUGGUCGGUACAGAGGGUUGCCAAGCCGCGAGGUGGAGCCAAUCCCAGAAAGCCGAUCGUAGUCCGGAUUGCAGUCUGCAACUCGACUGCAUGAAGUCGGAAUCGCUAGUAAUCGUGGAUCAGCAUGCCACGGUGAAUACGUUCCCGGGUCUUGUACACACCGCCCGUCACACCAUGGGAGUGGGUUUCACCAGAAGUGGGUAGCCUAACCGCGAGGGGGGCGCUUACCACGGUGGGAUUCAUGACUGGGGUG